GAUGCCAUCAUGACAGAGGCACAUGGGGCGGGGCAUUAAUGUAUCAGAGACAAAAUCGGAGAACGGUGGAGAUUAAUGGUAGAGGAAACAAAUGAGCCAGAGGAGGAAGAAGAGAUGUUGUCCGACAUACGCAGUAGCUCAAUAGUAUAUAAUAGUUGUACUUUUGAUUCAUUAUGAAUUGUAUUUUAUUUUCACCUCAUGCUACUUUAAUGUGUAUUUCGACUUAAUUUAUAUAUGACAUUUUUG
rnacentral:lncRNA from 1 species